GCGCCUCUUUCGUUUACUCCCAGUUCCAACACACACACACACACACAAACACGACCACUGCACAACACCCCUAUCUCCCACUCAAGCCACCACACACAUGACCGCAGCCGCCGGAGCCCGGAGCCACCCCUUCUGAGUUCUGACUUCUCCUUUCACUCAGUUCAGAAUUUAGGAAUUAGGGAUGCUCCGUUGAUUGCUUUAGUUAUCUUUUGCUUGGACCCCACGAUUGUUGAGGCAUACUCUAUUGCGCUUCCUGCACCAAGCUCUAGACUUUGAUUGGAAAUUUACACCAUGUUUUAGCUGUGUUCUAUAUUGAGAUCGCGUAUGGGCAUGACAGCAGCAGGUGAUCAGUGGUUCGGUCACGGCGUGUUAACAUUCAUUUUUUAUAGUGAUUCUCUGGUUGGGAUUCUGUUUAAAUCUUGCCAUCAAGCUAAAGAAAUUAGCCAUUAGGAAAGAGGUCCACUAACAUGUCCAUUUGUCUCCAGAAAAGUAUCUCUUCUCCAUUGACCUGCUUUCUUUUCAGAAAGUCAAAAACAUCAAUAUUUAAAUCUUUUAAACUAAUCCACCACUGUUGGAUGUUUUUCCAAAUUCCUCUAAUUGAUUUUUUCACUAGUGUAUAGUUUCCAAGGAUCUCCUAUUAUGGUAAUUGCUGUUAAUAAUAGGUUCUCAUAAGCUUGAUGCCUUUCUUUUGUAUUUCUAUAGGAUAAGUGAUGGAUACAUGAACGAUUCUUGCAUUUACUAUAUUGAAAGGGAGUUCUUACAACGAGUUUCGAUCGAGAAUGUAAUGCAAUGUUUUCAAAAGAUAUGAAACCUCGUAGGGAAUACGUAUUUUUUUAUUCAUAAAAACCAUUUUGUAAAUUUAUCA